rnacentral:rRNA from 1 species
GGCGUCUCAGUUCGGAUUGCAGGCUGCAACUCGCCUGUAUGAAGUCGGAAUUGCUAGUAAUCGCGGAUCAGCAUGCCGCGGUGAAUACGUUCCCGGGCCUUGUACACACCGCCCGUCACACCAUGAGAGCCGGUAACACCCGAAGUCCGUAGUCUAACCGUAAGGAGGACGCGGCCGAAGGUGGGUUUGGUAAUUGGGGUGAAGUCGUAACAAGGUAAC